rnacentral:rRNA from 1 species
AUGGUGACCAAGCGCCUCCAGGAAAGCGGCUCGCCGAAGCAAGCUCGUCCUGUCGCCACCGACAGCGCCAACGGCCCGCUGAUGCUGCUCCGUUUGCGGGAGCAGUGCUGCCGCGAGCACCACCCGGCUGCCUCGCCCGCUGGCCCGCUGGCGCUCACGCUCGGCGCCCCGGCGGCAAAAACCGACGACGUCUGCCGGUGCUGCUGCGCGAGCGACGCGGACGCGCCGGCUCUGGCGCCUGGGGUUAUGCCGUCGGUGGACUCGGUGCUAAGUGGCUCCCGGUACCUGAGGCCCGUGCAGGAGCUGCUGCGCGACGCGGUCUCCGCCGUCGUCGUCGGCGGCGACGACGACGAGAGCGCGGGGGGAGGCAGCGAAGACGACGCGCCCGGCGAAGAGGCUCUCCGAGAGAUCCGUCUGCGGGCGGCAGCCACGCGCCGCCGCGGCAUCCAGGCCAAGAACGACGGCGGCGCCGGCGCGGUGCAAGCCAAGCUCCUCGGCCUUCUCAGCGAGCUGGAGGGGCGGCAGGAGCACUACUUCCAGGAGCUGAGCCGCGUGGCGUCGUCGUUCGAGCCGGCGCUGGGGCCCGCCGCGACGGCCGGGUACACGUCCCUCAUGUCGCGGGCCAUGACGCGCCACUUCGCCAACCUGCGCCGCGCCAUCCUCCGCAAGCUCGCCGCGGUCGCAAGGCCGGCGCCGGCGCCGAGGGCGAGGCUGUGGACGAACGAUGACAGCGAGGAGGAGGAGGACGACGACGAGUACGACCCCGCGCAGACGGAGGACAUGGUGAGCAGGCUGGUCCGGCGGACGAAGCAGGCCGUGGCGGCGCGGGCGGCAGAGCAGGUGUGCAAGCCGUUGAGGGGCCUGCCGGAGGGGUCGGUGGCCGUGCUCCGGGCCUGGCUCUUCAACCAUUUCAUAGAUCCGUACCCCAGCGACAACGAGAAGCUGAGGCUGGCCGUGAGCACGGGGUUAAGCAGAAGGCAGAUAUCCAACUGGUUCAUCAACGCGCGGGUGCGGCUGUGGAAGCCCAUGAUCGAGGAGAUGUACGCCGACGAGUUCUCCGACGUCUCCUCCAGGGACGACGACGCUGGCGGGGGCGGCGCCGCGGCGUCCUCUCAAUGA